UGAGGGUUGACCAUUUUAAUAUUAUGGCAGUUUUUACAGCUUCUCUUCCGUUUUUGUGUUUUAUUGUAUCACCUAUCUAAAGCUUCAAACAAACUAAUGAAGCAGCAACAAUAAGGAAAUGAAUUGUAAAGUCCCCACUAGAUCAGGCCAUCAGAGAGCAGCUCAAAGGUCAUUGCCUGGUCUGCACCCAAGGAAAGCCCAGAAUAUCAGAAUCCUCAGUUCUCUGUUCAUAGACAGCUGGUCCCCUGUACCCCUCAG